rnacentral:rRNA from 1 species
AUUGAACGCUGGCGGCAUGCCUUACACAUGCAAGUCGAACGGUAACGGGCCUUCGGGUGCCGACGAGUGGCGAGCGGGUGAGUAAUACAUCGGAACGUGCCCGAUCGUGGGGGAUAACGAGGCGAAAGCUUUGCUAAUACCGCAUACGAUCUACGGAUGAAAGCAGGGGACCGCAAGGCCUUGCGCGGACGGAGCGGCCGAUGGCAGAUUAGGUAGUUGGUGGGAUAAAAGCUUACCAAGCCGACGAUCUGUAGCUGGUCUGAGAGGAUGAUCAGCCACACUGGGACUGAGACACGGACCAGACUCCUACGGGAGGCAGCAGUGGGGAAUUUUGGACAAUGGGCGCAAGCCUGAUCCAGCCAUGCCGCGUGCAGGAUGAAGGCCUUCGGGUUGUAAACUGCUUUUGUACGGAACGAAAAGCCUUCUUUUAAUACAGGAGGGUCAUGACGGUACCGGAAGAAUAAGCACCGGCUAACUACGUG